ACCACUGACUGAGCUUGUCCAGGUAGACCCACGGGCCAGAGCUGACACAUCGUCUUGUUGGGAGACUCGUGCAGUAGUUUCUAACACCACAGCUUAUGAUGGGCACCAACCUCUUCUGUACUGCUGUUCACGGGACAUGGAAAUACAAUGUCAGCAAGGCCACGGCAGGAUGCACUCCCUUGGCGAAGCAAUCUUGAUGCUGUUUCACGGUCCACUCUGCAAUGUCGAGAAGACAUAUCCAAACCAGAGACGUAGAAGUGACGGCCCAGAAUUGCAUGGAAUGGCGCAGGAUGGUCCACAAGAGACGUUGCCUUGAUGCAGACCACUUGGCACAACGAUGAAGAGA